rnacentral:rRNA from 1 species
CCCUUAGAUGUUCUGGGCCGCACGCGCGCUACAAUGAUGAAUUCAACGAGUUUAUAACCUUGGUUGAAAAGCCUGGGCAAUCUUUUGAACUUUCGUCGUGAUGGGGCUAGACCCUUGCAAUUAUUGGUCUCCAACGAGGAAUUCCUAGUAAACGCAAGUCAUCAGCUUGCAUUGAUUACGUCCCUGCCCUUUGUACACACCGCCCGUCGCACCUACCGAUUGAAUGGUCCGGUGAAAUCUUCGGAUUGAGACUUUGAUUUCUUCACGGAAAACGCUGUUUUAAAAAGUUGAUUAAACCUUACCAUUUAGAGGAAGGUGAAGUCGUAACA